ACAGAAACUCGAGCUCGAUCGAGUCUAAAAAAUGGAUACUCGAAGCUCGACUCGAAGAAUUUCCUUUAGGCUCGAGACUCGACUCGAUAAGGCUCGACCUUUAGUCAAGCCUUAUCGAGUCGAGUCUUAUCAAGCUUUUUGACUCGAUUUGACCAAAAAAUGAGAUCAAAGGUGGCUUUUUGGGAAGAUUCAAAGGCAAGCUGGAUUGCUUGACAUGAAACUUUCAAAUUCAGCAAUUACCCACCAACUAGUGGUGCCCACAAGAGCAGCAAAAAAUGGAUGAUUCUAAUUCCUCAUAUCAUAGUUCCUAAGCCACAGUAGGGUAAUAAAAUCUAUACUGCGUAGUUGUAAUUUGUAAAAUAACUAGAAGCUACUACAAAUUAAUGAGUUCAAGUAGUUACAAAAUAACCCUGAAGCAAAUUAAGAGAAUAUAUAAAACCAAUCUUUAUAGUUCAGCAACUACCAACCCCCGCAAGCCAUGAGAAAGCUACAAAUAUUAGACUGAAAAUAUGUAAAGAAGCUAGACAUAUGUAGGCCUUCUACUGGUUUGUAGUUAUAAAAGCUAAAUUGCUCUCUUCGAUAUGUUCUAGACUUGCUCCAAUGCUUUCCAUUACUUAUUCAGGAGCUGAUUACUUUUAUUGAGCUUAUUAAGAAUCCUAGGUACAACUUCUGGAGCCGUACUUUCACUAGAUGUGCACCAGAGAUUGAGAAUCUCCACGGACAAGGAGGUAAAAUUUUCAUUUUAGCAAGUUUUUUCCUUUUUAAUUUUUCUAACGGGUAAAAGGUGGAAUUUUUCCCCAAGGCCUUAACUUUUAAAGGCUGCACAACUGGAGAGAGCUUUCUUGUGUAUAAAAUACAAAGCUUAUGUUAUAUCACACCUAAUCUAAACUACUACAACAGUUAGAGUUUGCAAUUCGAAGCUCAGAUUUCGUCCCCUUAUCAAUUCAGGAUAACAAAUUUCCUAGUCGAUCUUGGCCCAUUUUAAUGCCAGAUACACAGAGCCAAAAACAGAGGAGCACUUACCUAAGCGAGCCAGAGAUGAGCAGUGAUGAACCAGCGAUGAACCAGUGAGAUCUUGGUGCUUCGUCUUCGACACUCGGCAGCGAUGAACCAGCACGGCAGGACACAGCCGACAGGA